CAAAGACGGUAACAGCCCGGUAGUUGAAAUGGCUUUCCCUCCAGAGUGGAUCCUGAGUACGGCGGAACACGUGAAAUUCCGUCGGAAUCCGGGAGGACCAUCUCCCAAGGCUAAAUACUCCCUAGUGACCGAUAGUGAACCAGUACCGUGAGGGAAAGGUGAAAAGCACCCCGGAAGGGGAGUGAAACAGUUCCUGAAACCGUGUGCCUACAAGUAGUUAGAGCCCGUUAAUGGGUGAUAGCGUGCCUUUUGUAGAAUGAACCGGCGAGUUACGAUUUGUUGCAAGGUUAAGCGGAAAAAGCGGAGCCGUAGCGAAAGCGAGUCUGAAUAGGGCGCAUAAGUAACAGGUCGUAGACCCGAAACCAGGUGAUCUACCCAUGUCCAGGAUGAAGGUAAGGUAAUACUUACUGGAGGUCCGAACCCACGCACGUUGAAAAGUGCGGGGAUGAGGUGUGGGUAGCGGAGAAAUUCCAAUCGAACUUGGAGAUAGCUGGUUCUCUCCGAAAUAGCUUUAGGGCUAGCCUCGAGGUAAAGAGUCAUGGAGGUAGAGCACUGUUUGGACUAGGGGCCCUUCUCGGGUUACCGAAUUCAGAUAAACUCCGAAUGCCAUGUACUUAUACUCGGGAGUCAGACUGCGAGUGAUAAGAUCCGUAGUCGAAAGGGAAACAGCCCAGACCACCAGUUAAGGUCCCCAAAUAUAUGUUAAGUGGAAAAGGAUGUGGGGUUGCUUAGACAACCAGGAUGUUGGCUUAGAAGCAGCCACCAUUGAAAGAGUGCGUAAUAGCUCACUGGUCGAGUGACCCCGCGCCGAAAAUGUACCGGGGCUAAACAUAUUACCGAAACUGUGGAUGAACCUCUUUAGAGGUUCGUGGUAGGAGAGCGUUCUAAGGGCGGUGAAGUCAGACCGGAAGGACUGGUGGAGCGCUUAGAAGUGAGAAUGCCGGUAUGAGUAGCGAAAGAAGGGUGAGAAUCCCUUCCACCGAAUAUCUAAGGUUUCCUGAGGAAGGCUCGUCCGCUCAGGGUUAGUCGGGACCUAAGCCGAGGCCGAUAGGCGUAGGCGAUGGACAACAGGUAGAGAUUCCUGUACCAGUGCUAAUUGUUUAACCGAUGGGGUGACACAGAAGGAUAGGGAAUCGCACGAAUGGAAAUGUGCGUCCAAGCAGUGAGUGUGAGAAGUAGGCAAAUCCGCUUCUCGCGAAGCAUGAGCUGUGAUGGGGAAGGAAAUUAAGUACGGAAGUUCCUGAUUUCACGCUGUCAAGAAAAGCCUCUAGGAAGAGUAGUACUGCCCGUACCGCAAACCGACACAGGUAGAUGAGGAGAGAAUCCUAAGGUGAGCGAGAGAACUCUCGUUAAGGAACUCGGCAAAAUGACCCCGUAACUUCGGGAGAAGGGGUGCUCUAUUAGGGUGCAAGCCCGAGAGAGCCGCAGUGAAUAGGCCCAGGCGACUGUUUAGCAAAAACACAGGUCUCUGCAAAACCGUAAGGUGACGUAUAGGGGCUGACGCCUGCCCGGUGCUGGAAGGUUAAGAGGAGUGCUUAGCUUCGGCGAAGGUACGAAUUGAAGCCCCAGUAAACGGCGGCCGUAACUAUAACGGUCCUAAGGUAGCGAAAUUCCUUGUCGGGUAAGUUCCGACCCGCACGAAAGGCGCAACGAUCUGGGCACUGUCUCAACGAGAGACUCGGUGAAAUUAUAGUACCUGUGAAGAUGCAGGUUACCCGCGACAGGACGGAAAGACCCCGUGGAGCUUUACUGCAACCUGAUAUGGAAUGUUUGUACCGCUUGUACAGGAUAGGUAGGAGCCGAAGAGACGUGUGCGCUAGCAUACGAGGAGGCAAUGGUGGGAUACUACCCUGGCUGUAUGACCAUUCUAACCCGCCACGCUUAGCGCGUGGGGAGACAGUGUCAGGUGGGCAGUUUGACUGGGGCGGUCGCCUCCUAAAGAGUAACGGAGGCGCCCAAAGGUUCCCUCAGAAUGGAUGGAAAUCAUUCGCAGAGUGUAAAGGCACAAGGGAGCUUGACUGCGAGACUGACAAGUCGAGCAGGGACGAAAGUCGGGCUUAGUGAUCCGGUGGUUCCGCAUGGAAGGGCCAUCGCUCAACGGAUAAAAGCUACCCCGGGGAUAACAGGCUUAUCUCCCCCAAGAGUCCACAUCGACGGGGAGGUUUGGCACCUCGAUGUCGGCUCGUCGCAUCCUGGGGCUGUAGUCGGUCCCAAGGGUUGGGCUGUUCGCCCAUUAAAGCGGCACGCGAGCUGGGUUCAGAACGUCGUGAGACAGUUCGGUCCCUAUCCGUCGCGGGCGCAGGAAAUUUGAGAGGAGCUGUCCUUAGUACGAGAGGACCGGGAUGGACACACCGCUGGUGUACCAGUUGUUCCGCCAGGAGCAUCGCUGGGUAGCUAUGUGUGGCAGGGAUAAACGCUGAAAGCAUCUAAGCGUGAAGCCCCCCUCAAGAUGAGAUUUCCCAUUUCUUCGGAAAGUAAGAUCCCUGAAAGAUGAUCAGGUAGAUAGGU
rnacentral:rRNA from 1 species